rnacentral:lncRNA from 1 species
GUCAUCGUUCUUUUCUAUUUUCUAGACAUUUCUUUAGCUUCAGUCGCAUCGAAUUCCUUUAGGUUUUUGAUAGGGUUCCUUUCCCUUCGCCAUGUAGUCGAAGUUCAGCCAUCUCUUUCUUUGUUUAGGUAUUUUUACACCUUCAAGCGCCACCCCUCGGCAAAGGACUGGUGGUACUUCUCCUCCCAGUUCGACAAGAAGGGGUUACUGAAAAGUGCUCUCU